rnacentral:miRNA from 1 species
CGCUAUUAUUAAAACCCCCAACGCUCACACACACACACACACACACAGCCGUGUGCAUGGGGCAAAAAACUAUGGCCGUGUGUAUUUGUGCGAGGCGUUGGCGUUCUGACCAGC